ensembl:lncRNA
AAGCUUGACUGAUGAGUAUUAACUUCUGAGCCUGUGUAGUAAAAGCUGGCUACUAAGCCCACAGGCAAAGCACCAAAUCCUCACCCAUGAUCACUUUCUCAGAAAAACAAAGUCUAUUGGGCAAGGCUUCAAAGGGCAAGGAUUUACCACUGCCUUUCGGCAUGGGAAAUCCGUGUCUGUUACAGUUUAUGUCUGCCUUGAGGUUCUGCACUGGCUGUUCUUUCUAGAGCACUCAGAGCUCAGAAGACAGAUGCAUCUAUACCGCAGCUCAACUGCCACGAGAAACAGAUGUUUUCUUUACCAUUGGGUCACUUUUCUUGUUGCCAUGAACAAAGUACAGAACAAGAGUCAACUUUGGAGAGGAAGAGAUUAUCUGACUUCAGUUAAAGAGGCUACAUCCCACCAUGUCCGGGAAAGCAUGACAGCAGAUACCAUGAGGGGUCACAUCGCAGCUGCAGCUAGGAAUCAGAGAGCAGGCAGGAAGUGAGUUUGAGCUAUGAAAUGUCAAACCUCAAAAGUGAUCCUAUUGUUCCCACAGGCUUCACGUCUUAAAGGUUCCACAGUCUUCUAAAACAGCACCCUAGUUAAAGACCAGUUCUUCAAACACAUGAAGCUAUGGGAGGAACACUGAGAAACAUUCUCUUCAGAUAACUUGUGAUGCACACCAAAUGAUGCUGGCGGCUCACUGGUCAUCUGUGACUUCAGACUUCUGUCUUCAUGGACCACAUGUCAACCCUCACUGGGCCUAUUGAGGGCCUAAUUUGUCUGGCAGGGGGAGGAAGUCCUCCUCCCCCAGUUAUCUCUAAAGCACUCGUCUCUCAGGGAUCAGCCAGCAAAACAGAACAAACAACAGGUGCAUAAUAAGAGAUUUACCUCAAGGAAUUGGCUAGUGUAGAAUUGGACCUUAUAAUCUUCUCUAACAUUGCCCAGCUGUACUCCUUAGUUAUAGGUAAAAAUAAAACUCCG